rnacentral:lncRNA from 1 species
AUGCUGUUUCCAACUUGGAUCGGGUUGGGUGGGGGGGCGGGGGAAGGGAGCGUCCGGGAAGCCGAGCGCCUCCCGGCUAUUUGCUCUUCUUUAUUUGUUUUCUCCUCCGGGGAAGGAGGAGGAAAACGAAGAGAAAAGGAAAGGGAAAGAAGCGACACGGCCGCGUCUCGCGGUGGCCGCCGGCUGCGCAGGAGCGAGGCGGGAGGCGAGGUGAGGGUCGCCGCUCGCUCACUCCUCGCUCCCUUUUUUUUUUUUUUUUUUUUUUUGGGCAAAGGCGGGGUCUCUCUUUGCAAACCAAUGACACAACCCCACAUGGGCCGGCCUCGCCCCCUACAGAUACUCCUCACUACAAAUCGGCUCUCUCGGGGGAUUAGUGGCUCCGCGAAAGUGCACACGGGCACGGCGGGCGGGCGAGGGGGCCGGGCGCGGCGGGCACUCCCCGGCCUGGCCCCGCCCGGGAGGCCCUGGAGACGCGCUGGGGCCUCGGGGCAGGGGCCGGGCGGGGUUGAGGGGGGUCCUGCGGCCGCGGCCGGGAGCCCGGCCCUCCAGCCGCCCUCCUUCCUCCUCCGCCCCUUCCACGUGGGGCCCCGGGCGGCCGGCCACGUGGGGGAACUCGAGUGCGCGCGGGCCUUGGCGCAGCGCCCCAGGGUGGCCCUGGCUCCGGCGGGCCCCUCGCCAGGCCCGCGGCGCCGACCUGCCCCUUUCCCGGCCCCGCGGCUCCAACUUCCUCCCGGGCCCCUCCGCCAGCCGCUUCUGCCUUCUCAGGCCCGCGGGGUCAGGCGCGGGCCGGCCACAGGGGGCACUUGCGCUCCCCAAAUCCGGAUCCGGGAGACGCUUGCCCGCGCCUGGCCCGAGGGGCGGUGGAUGGCUGUGGGUGCGCGCGGAGGGAGCCCGAUGUGCUGGAACUCGCAGCGGUUGUGUUCCCUACGAGAAGCAAAACAUUUUUUACACAUUAAAAAAAAAAAAAAAUGUUCCUUCCUGUUGCCUGGUUCUCGCCGGGGCUAUUUUUAA